rnacentral:rRNA from 1 species
GGCGACGAGUGGCGAACGGGUGAGUAAUGCAUCGGAACGUGCCCAGAAGUGGGGGAUAGCCCGGCGAAAGCCGGAUUAAUACCGCAUGAGACCUGAGGGUGAAAGCGGGGGAUCGCAAGACCUCGCGCUUUUGGAGCGGCCGAUGUCAGAUUAGCUUGUUGGUGGGGUAAAAGCCUACCAAGGCGACGAUCUGUAGCUGGUCUGAGAGGACGACCAGCCACACUGGGACUGAGACACGGCCCAGACUCCUACGGGAGGCAGCAGUGGGGAAUUUUGGACAAUGGGCGAAAGCCUGAUCCAGCCAUGCCGCGUGCGGGAAGAAGGCCUUCGGGUUGUAAACCGCUUUUGUCAGGGAAGAAACGCUCCGGGCUAAUAUCCUGGGGUAAUGACGGUACCUGAAGAAUAAGCACCGGCUAACUACGUGCCAGCAGCCGCGGUAAUACGUAGGGUGCAAGCGUUAAUCGGAAUUACUGGGCGUAAAGCGUGCGCAGGCGGUUAUGCAAGACAGAUGUGAAAUCCCCGGGCUCAACCUGGGAACUGCAUUUGUGACUGCAUGGCUAGAGUGCGGCAG